rnacentral:lncRNA from 1 species
AUCACCACCAAAUUCUCCCUUAUCAACUGCUCGAUGUAUUUUUUUUAUGGCUCCGUCCCGUCAAUCAAUAGAGCUGCCCCUCUCCUCUUCCCCUCCGCCCCCAUUGUCGCUAUUUUCUCCCAAAAGAUCGACGAGAUCUGAGACCGUAAAAGCAAGAGAGAGAAGAAAAAGGAGAGUGAUUGAGAGGCAAAAGCGAGUUCAAUCAAAAGACAGGGCGAGA